GUGUCUGUUGAGCUAGGCGGAACGAUGCGAGUGUCGAGCGAUCGAUCGCGCCCUGUUUCGUGCGAGAAGCCCCUAAGCGUCCCUUGCGCGUGGUAUCUGUUCCUGGAGGAGGUGGAAGGCGUGAGAGGUCCAGUUAGGAUGGGCGCUUGUUAUGUGGCAGAGGCGCCAGAGCCUUCCACGGCUCCGUAGAAGGCGGAAAUCAACCAGGCAGCUUUUUUCAUCGAUGUGUCCCCAUGCCAAGGAAACCUUUCCCUUGUUUUCUGCCUGUCCUACAGCUGCUCAAGGAAGGAAAGCUUGUGCUUGGAAAGGGCCAUUCCCAAAUGUGUACAGACCUGGUGAAGGAGGGAGACAGUGGGCAGAGAACUGCUAAUGAACUUCAAAUACAGUACCUCUGUUCACAGGCGGUACAAAAAUAGUAGAAACAGAUGGGAUGCAUUAAGUGAAAAAAAGAAGAAGAAGAAGCCAGUGCAUUUAAAUAGAACAGACUCGCUGGCUGAUGACUGAUGAAUAGCAAAAGUUUGUUAAUUGACAAGAGGGGAGGGGAGAAGGCCUUUGACGCACUGCUUUCUUUUUUGAAGAGCUUUCUUUGCCAAUGGUUCUAUGAAGCUGGUAAUAAAGUUAAUUCAAAAUGAAUAAUGUAGCUCAAAGGUGUACUUCACUUUAAUGAAAGCAAGCUCUAGCACAGAUAAACGACAAAACUCUGACAGCAGAAGCAGAUCGCGGGAAAGAACCGGAUUGGCUUGGUGGGGGCUUGCAGGGAAGAAGCGAGAAAUCUGACAAACUUCUUAAAUCCUUAUUCCCAAGUCGUUUCCCUGGUCUUUCGUCUUGUAGUCAGGAUGUAUAGAGGUUCUCCACUAGAUGGCAAUGUAUUAUAAGAUACACUGUCUCCACCCCACCCAUAUCACU